UAAGGGCCUACCAAGACGAUGAUGUGUAGCUGGACUGAGAGGUUGAACUGGGACUGAGACACGGCCCAAACUCCUACGGGAGGCAGCAGUAGGGAAUUUUCGGCAAUGGAGGAAACUCUGACCGAGCAACGCCGCGUGAAUGACGAAGUACUGCCGGUAUGUAAAGUUCUUUUAUCGAGGAAGAAAAGCAAAUGGGAAACCAUUUGUUUGCCGGUACUUAAUGAAUAAGCCCCGGCUAAUUAUGUGCCAGCAGCCGCGGUAAGACAUAAGGGGCAAGUGUUAUCCGGAAUUAUUGGGCGUAAAGGGUGCGUAGGCGGUCUAGUAAGUCAGUGGUGUAAUGGCAACGCUUAACGUUGUCCGGCUAUUGAAACUGCUAAACUUGAGUUAGAUAGAGGCGAGUGGAAUUCCAUGUGUAGCGGUAAAAUGCGUAAAUAUAUGGAGGAACACCAGAGGCGUAGGCGGCUCGCUGGGUCUUAACUGACGCUGAGGCACGAAAGCGUGGGGAGCAAACAGGAUUAGAUACCCUGGUAGUCCACGCCGUAAACGAUGAGUACUAAGUGUCGGGUUAAACCGGUACUGAAGUUAACACAUUAAGUACUCCGCCUGAGUAGUACGUACGCAAGUAUGAAACUUAAAGGAAUUGACGGGACUCCGCACAAGCGGUGGAUCAUGUUGUUUAAUUCGAAGAUACCCGAAAAACCUUACCAGGUCUUGACAUGUUUUUGCAAAAUGAUAGUAAUAUCGUGGAGGUUACCAGAAACACAGGUGGUGCAUGGUUGUCGUCAGCUCGUGUCGUGAGAUGUUAGGUUAAGUCCUAAAACGAGCGAAACCCUUAUCGUUAGUUGCCAGCACGUUAUGGUGGGGACUUUAACGAGACUGCCAAUGAUAAAUUGGAGGAAGGUGAGGAUCACGUCAAAUCAGCAUGCCCCUUAUGACCUGGGCUACAAACGUGAUACAAUGGCUGUUACAAAGGGUAGCUGAAACGCAA
rnacentral:rRNA from 1 species